AGAGUUUGAUCCUGGCUCAGGACGAACGCUGGCGGCACGCCUAACACAUGCAAGUCGAACGGAGAAAAUGAUUUCGGUUAUUUUCUUAGUGGCGGACGGGUGAGUAACACGUGAGGAACCUGCCUCUGAGAGUGGGAUAGCUUCUGGAAACGGAUGGUAAUACCGCAUAACAUAGCGAAACCGCAUGAUUUUGCUAUCAAAGUAUUUCGCUCAGAGAUGGCCUCGCGUCUGAUUAGAUAGUUGGUGAGGUAACGGCUCACCAAGUCGACGAUCAGUAGCCGGACUGGGAGGUUGAACGGCCACAUUGGGACUGAGACACGGCCCAGACUCCUACGGGAGGCAGCAGUGGGGGAUAUUGCACAAUGGGGGAAACCCUGAUGCAGCGAUGCCGCGUGGAGGAAGAAGGUUUUCCGAUUGUAAACUCCUGUCGUAAGGGAAGAGAAAGGACUGUACCUUACAAGAAAGCUCCGGCUAACUACGUGCCAGCAGCCGCGGUAAUACGUAGGGAGCGAGCGUUGUCCGGAAUGACUGGGUGUAAAGGGAGCGUAGGCGGGAUGGCAAGUCAGAUGUGAAACCUGAGGGCUCAACCUUCAGACUGCAUUUGAAACUGCUGUUCUUGAGUGAAGUAGAGGUAAGCGGAAUUCCUGGUGUAGCGGUGAAAUGCGUGGAGAUCAGGAGGAACAUCGGUGGCGAAGGCGGCUUACUGGGCUUUUACCGACGCUGAGGCUCGAAAGCGUGGGGAGCAAACAGGAUUAGAUACCCUGGUAGUCCACGCUGUAAACGAUGAUUACUAGGUGUGGGGGGAUUGACCCCUUCCGUGCCGCAGUUAACACAAUAAGUAAUCCACCUGGGGAGUACGACCGCAAGGUUGAAACUCAAAGGAAUUGACGGGGGCCCGCACAAGCAGUGGAGUAUGUGGUUUAAUUCGAAGCAACGCGAAGAACCUUACCAAGUCUUGACAUCCUCCUGACCGGUCCUUAACCGGACCUUUCCUUCGGGACAGGAGAGACAGGUGGUGCAUGGUUGUCGUCAGCUCGUGUCGUGAGAUGUUGGGUUAAGUCCCGCAACGAGCGCAACCCCUAUCCUCAGUAGCCAGCAUUUAAGGUGGGCACUCUGGGGAGACUGCCAGGGAUAACCUGGAGGAAGGCGGGGAUGAUGUCAAAUCAUCAUGCCCCUUAUGAUUUGGGCUACACACGUGCUACAAUGGCGUAAACAAAGGGAGGCGAGAUCGUGAGAUGGAGCAAAUCCCAAAAAUAACGUCCCAGUUCGGACUGUAGUCUGCAACCCGACUACACGAAGCUGGAAUCGCUAGUAAUCGCGGAUCAGAAUGCCGCGGUGAAUACGUUCCCGGGUCUUGUACACACCGCCCGUCACACCAUGGGAGUCAGUAACGCCCGAAGUCAGUGACCUAACUGCAAAGAAGGAGCUGCCGAAGGCGGGACCGAUGACUGGGGUGAAGUCGUAACAAGGUA
rnacentral:rRNA from 1 species